UCUGCCCAUGCGGGGAAGGAUGAGAAGCUUUGACCAAGGUUCGACUCGAGCGCCAGCGAGAGAGCGUUGCCGCAGGCAACGACCCGAAGGGCGAAGCGCGCAGCGCUGAGUAAUCCUUCCCCCACCACCA
rnacentral:sRNA from 1 species